rnacentral:misc_RNA from 1 species
GUAGGUGAACCUGCGGAAGGAUCAUUAACACGAUUCAAAAAUUUGUAAAAAUUUCUGUUUUUUUGUAACUCUGAAUUUUUCAUGAAUUCAAUUUUAUUCAAAACUCCUUUUUUUUCAAUUUUUCAAUUUUCAUGAAUUGGAUAAGAUUUAUUUCCAUCUCAUUCUUGAUGAUUUUUCAAACCCACCGUGAACUGUUUCUUCUCCCUAGUUUGUUAUGUGAGGGAUUUUUGUGUGUGAGAUAGAUAUAUCU